GGGAUGUUGGCUCGGUUGGUAGAGCGUUGGUCUCAUAACAUGAUGUGGUUAAACAUCAGAGACAUCUAAAGGUCGUGAGUUCGAGCCUCACGUCCCA
rnacentral:tRNA from 1 species